rnacentral:lncRNA from 1 species
UAUAUGGAUGAGGGUUGUUCUUCGCUGGAGGUGCCGGGGCGGCCUUGCUGUGUAGGGAUGGGGGUUCCUCGUAAAUGGAUGUGCCGCGUUUGGGGGUGCUAUAUUGAGGCCAAAGGGCACAUAGAGGUGCCGCGAGUGGCAUGUUGUUGCGGAUGGGGGCUGUUUCCGAUGCAGAUGGCAGUGGUACUGGGGUGCGAAUUGUUUCCGGUAUAGAUGUGGGGGGGUGUUGUUUUUAAAUGCGAUGUGGUAUUUUUAACACCUCGAGUUGGACCGACUCGCGAAUAUGUUUUGGUUAAUCAAGUCC